AACAUAUCUAAGUCGGACAUCUGUAAUAAGUGGGAGAAGUCAGGCCACUCUGCUCAUGUCACCAUACAGAACAAUUACUGGCUGACAGCACCAUGAGCUGUCCAUUUCCGAUUGAUUGUGCCGUGGCUGCUGCUUCAAGUUUCAGCACCACAAUGUAAGUUACUCGAAUCUGACUUCUUGUGAGGUCAAUAACUCUGAUAAACCUUUUUUUGAUAUACUCAGAGGACCGUUAUUAACAUGUUUUAACCACUCCUUCAUUAUUACUGAAACAGGAUUCAAAGUGGUAAAUAUAAAGAUCCAGUCCAUAAACAAAUUGGAGGCCCCUUACACUUCAGUGUUGUGAUGCAAAAAUGCUAGCAAAAUGUAUAGCGCAUAGAAUUAAAAGGUAUUGUCGGACAUUAUUAAUUAUAAUCAGACAUGUUUUUUACAUGGACAAUAUAUUUAAGAUCAUUGAGGCCCAUGUUGACAAGAUGUUGGGGAAUCACUGGAGGGGAAUAUUGACCAACUGAGCAUCUCAGUGUACAUCUCAAUAAACACAAUAGGUGUUUUGUUACAUUUCAGUCCUCUGUGAAAUAUUUAAAGUGUCAUAUUGGGGUGCAAACUCAACAAUGAAUACAUUUAAACUAUAUCUGACAUGUUACUGUUGUCUUCUUAUUUAAGCCACUGACCAUGUGUGUGAGGUGUAAACAGGAUGUACAUACAUGGGAAUAAACACAUGACAUAGAAAAUAAAAAUAUUGACAUUUAGGAAUUCAAAAUGCAUCUAAAUAUAUUUUGUUCUGUCUAUGGAAUACAUUAAAAAAACCUGGACAUUUUUUUUAUAUGUGUAUAAAAUAUACUUGUCUGUACAGUAAGUAAAUGCAGGAAAUCCAAAUGCACAAAAAUAUGUUUUUGUAAUGUCUAAAAUAAAAUAUAUGUGUAUAAUA